ACCCAUCAGAGGGGGAUAACACUUGGAAACAGGUGCUAAUACCGCAUAACAGUUUAUGCCGCAUGGCAUAAGAGUGAAAGGCGCUUUCGGGUGUCGCUGAUGGAUGGNCCCGCGGUGCAUUAGCUAGUUGGUGAGGUAACGGCUCACCAAGGCCACGAUGCAUAGCCGACCUGAGAGGGUGAUCGGCCACACUGGGACUGAGACACGGCCCAGACUCCUACGGGAGGCAGCAGUAGGGAAUCUUCGGCAAUGGACGAAAGUCUGACCGAGCAACGCCGCGU
rnacentral:rRNA from 1 species